rnacentral:lncRNA from 1 species
GGCCGAAGUCCAAGCUACACAAGAGGCCAGAAAUUUAAGUUCUCAUUUCUAACACUGGGGAGGUAGACUCAUAAUGUGGGAAUUCCUCCAAAUAGAAAUACUAUUCAAAAUAUGAUUUGUCAGCCAUGAAUACGACUAUGCUGACUACAGCAAGCAACAAAUGAAAACAAUAACAAUUAUGUCUUUCUCCUUCUUCUCUCCUACCUCUUCUAAGCCUAUCUUUGUCAAGUUGUCUGUGUAUUCCUUUAUCUUGUCGGCUUUGCAGGGUGAAAAGAUGAAACUACUGAAGACCAACAGGCUUCCUGUCUCUUGUGAAGCCUAUGCUCACUGAGGAAGCUACAGUGGGGCAGAGGAGGUAGGAGGGGCUGCCUUUGAGCCUGAUAAAGGAGAAAAAAUACUACUGGGAGGGGAAUGGAAGUUGGCCAAGUUCCUUGACAAGAGGAGAUGCAUGCUCUCCUUUGCUCAGAGGACAAAGGAAAUAAUGGUGCCUCAAAGAGUAUGGCUGUCCUGGAGACUGGAGCUCUGGUCAUCACAACAUUCCAUGUGUCCUACAAGGCACAGAAGCUGCAGAGCAACACAAAGGAUCCUGCGGGCUUGAACAAGGGGCUCGAACAAAAAGCAGUUACUCCACAGAAGACCAGAGGGGUCCUCCCAGCAUUGUGGCUCUAUGAGGAAACUGAGACCCAGAGAUGGAACUGGGAUUCAAAACAAUGUCUAGUGUGACUCCAGAGCCUUUCCUAACUCCUACUUAAAGCCUCUGAGGAAUGCUGAAAAGAGCACAGGACAUAGAAUCCAGUUGAGACCAGAAGCAGCAGCAGUCCUCGACAUCAACUACAACUUUCCUUCGCACAGUGCAUACCCUCUGAUAUACUGAACCCAACGCCUAUCCUCCAGCCCCCUAAGAACUAGAGAGGGAGCCUCACAACAUUCCAAUUUAAUCCUUCAGAAAAUUCAUUACUCUUCAAAGUUGUCUGUGGUUUUGUGACAACGAUAUGACUAGGUGCAAAAUGGCUUGCAACUAAUUAACAAACAUAGAAGCAUCCAACAAACAUAUACGUGCACAAUCUGAGGAUUUAGGGAUGAAAUCAGUUAUCCAGGUUAGAUAUCAACAAAAGAGCAGUAAUUAUAAAGUUUCAUGAAGAAAGUGGCUGUUGAGGUGUGGAUUAUGUAAGUAAGACUGACAACAAGAAAUGAUUUUGUUAUAAUCCAGAAGUAAAACUAAAUAAAUGUUCUUUAAAUUGAUGGAUAAAUAAGAAAGAAUUUAUUUACAACAGUAAAUAAAUCCAAUACUUGUUAUAAAUAAGAUAAAGCUGGCUAUAAAUUCACAUUUUCAUGUGAGCGUUUUGAAGUAUGUGGACAUAAAAAACACACACCUCAAGCAUACUUCUCAAUGAUUUCUGAUAAAGAACACACCUUUGUAACCAGCACAUGGUGUAAAACCAGAAACAGAACAUUACCAGAUUCCUAAACAAGCCUUCUUUGUGCCCCUUUUUAGUCACUACCCUCCCCCAUUCAAGGUAACUUCUAUCUUGACUUCUAACACCACACUUUUAGUUUUGCCUAUUGUUAACUUGAUAUAAAUAGAAUGAUACUGUAUAUUUUGUGUGUGUUUGGCUUCUUCUGCUCCAACUUUUGUUGGUAAGGUUUAUACAGAUUAUUAAAUAUAGCUAUAGUUCAUUUAUUUCUAUUACUAUGCAGUAUACUUGGAUUCAGGAAUACACCAUAACUUAAUCAUCCAUUCUAUUGUUGACUGGUUUGGCAAUUUUCUAAACAUACGCAAAUUCUAUGAACCAGCAAUUCUAUCCCGUGUAUGUGUAUAUAUACACACAUGUUAAAUAUAUACACAGAAACAUGCUGUGAAAGUGCUUUGCAAAUGGCAAAAUGUAAAAUGUAAGGAAUGUUACCAAAGAGCUGAAACGCACUGUGUCUUUCUUGCAACACAGAUUCUUGGACAUAUCAGAUAAUAAAUGUAUUUUGUAUUGAAAAUAAGAUAUUGCCACUGUUGCGCUCAGAAAUUACUAUAAGAAUUCAACGGUUGUGGGAGGAAAAGGCAGAGGAGUACUUAUCUGCAGGAAAUCUGCUGGGGCACGGCAGGUCUCAGGGACUUGUGUCUACAUGAAAACUUGAGACUUCUGAAAGAAGUGGAUACGAAAGCAGCAUGCUCAGCCCCAAAACACAAGAAAUGAAGUUCCCACAAAAUGGGAGAUUACAGAAUCCUUAACUUGACCAGAAACUCAAGUUAAGUGGGGAAAAGGUCUACAUGCUAAAGUUUGGGUCUGGUAAACAGGGUGGUAAUAGUCAAUGAGGAGGAUUAGUGUUGGAUGUCAUAGUAAAUACAGCCAUUUGUUGUCCUGUUCUAUGGCUCAAACGCAGGGAAUUUAUCCCUGGUUCCUCACGAGAAAAUUGUAAGAACCUUAAAAAGCAAACAUUAGGCCGGGCGUGAUGGCUCACGCCUGUAAUCCCAGCACUUUGGGAGGCCAAGGCAGGCAGAU